rnacentral:rRNA from 1 species
CCCUUAGAUGUUCUGGGCUGCACGCGCGCUACACUGAAGCUAUCAACACGUUUUCCCUCCCUGAGAAGGGCGGGUAACCUUUUGAAUCAGCUUCGUGGUAGGGAUCGGGGCUUGCAAUUGUUCCCCGUGAACCAGGAAUUCCUAGUAGACGCGAGUCAUAAGCUCGCAUCGAUUAAGUCCUUGCCCUUUGUACACACCGCCCGUCGCUACUACCGAUUGAACGUUUUAGUGAGGCAUUUGGACCGACGCAUCUCAGUUUAACCGCUGGUUUGUGUUGGAAAGACUUCCAAACUUGAGCGUUUAGAGGAAGUAAAAGUCGUAACA